UAUUCUUUCAUUCCGUUUCUUAUAAUUUCACACCUGUUUACAGGCGAAACGAUGUAAAUCUAAUGUCUGGUACAGGUCCAUUGUUAGCUUACAAAUGCAGAUGUAUAGCGCAUAGAAAGUAAAGCACUUGAUGCAAAAAGAGUGGUGCUUAAGGAGAUCUCUCUUGUGUUCAUGCUGAAAUGAAGAGUUAAUAGCUGGUGUUGUUUUUCAGAUUGUACUUCAUAGAUCAGGUACAUAUAUAAAAGAUAUUCUGGGAUGUGCAGGAGGUAAAUAAGAUUUAGGAGUAUGUGGUUUCACCAUGUGAAGUUUGGUUUAGUUAUGUGUUUCUCAAGCUUAUUGUGUUGUUUUAUUGACUGUACUUUCCCUACUUGGAUUUCUAAUUCCAGUUAGUAGGUUGGGUUUGCCUCUCUUUGUAACUGGCAGAUGAACAAGAGUACCUCACAGUUGGAAAAGGUCAAAGCGUCUAACUGAUAACUAAAGAGGGAGUUCUCUUGGAUGCUUCAGAGAAAUCCAGGUUGUCAAAGCGUCUAACUGAUAACUAAAGAGGGAGUUCUCUUGGAUGCUUCAGAGAAAUCCAGAAAAUUAGAAGUGAUGUGAAGUGGGUGGCUGAGGAAAAAUAACACAGUUGUUAAUGGAGCCCAGUUUUGAAGUUGGUUGAUAUUAGCCUGUAAUGGAAUGGUGCAUAUGACUUUAUUUCCUGUUUGCUGGUUCAUGUAAGUGAUCGACUUUGGUAACAGUCAAUCUCAAGGCAGCAGAAGAUUAUUUAGUCAUGACUAUUAAGCACUAAAUGAGAUGUGGAACGUACUUGAGUUCAAGAAAGCCACUCAUCUCGAUUGCCCCACAAAAUGAUACUUCACCAUCACCUUGAGAAAAAUGCAUAUCACCAGUACUGAGGUUUGCUCCUUCUACAAAUACUGGAAGGUAUAUUUUUGAACCUCUGCUGAGAUUUUUGAUGUCACAAUUUCCUCCAUUUUCACGUCCAGGUAUUGUUCUUGCGGCCUCAUUGGCAAUUCUAUUCCAUUCAUGAGUUCCAUCUUGAAUCUACAUACAAUCACGAGUUGUCAAAAAAAAAAUUGACGUGCUUAGCCGUUAAGUUUGUUUGUUCACUCUCUUUCUCUAGAUCAUAUUCUGUUUACUGUUUACAGUAAUGUCGGGCUGCAGCUUGUUGAUAAGGAAUUUAUCUUCUUGUUCUUUUAUAGCUUUGGUUUAAAUUGAGAAUAUAUAAUGGUUAGGGAAUGACAAAGUGGUCAGUUCCUGAAACAAUUGCAAGCCUUCAUACCUUGCCAAGAAUGCACCCUUUUGUUGAAGGUAGGUUAGCCAAUGGUCUUGAAUGCAAGACUUCACAUAAUUUGAGAGUUUGGGGACCCGUUUCUUCAAGCUUUCUUUCCCUCUCAUUCCAGAUAUUGAGAAGUUCUUUUGAAGGCGCUGUUCCAAUUAUUCCAGGAUGAACUAAACCGGGAAAUCUUACACCUGUUUGAAAGAUUUCCGGUAAAUGUCAUUAGGAUUUGAUAUGUAUAUUUGUCUAGGAUAUAUUAGGAGAAGAUACAGCUUUACCUGGUAUAUGAGGUGAGUAGGCAUAUAUGCCUUCGAAAUACCAAAUGGCUUUAGUUGCACGUGGAAAAUGAUCUGUUAGAAAUCCUCCACCGUUCUCUCUAUCAAAUAUAGCUGUAAAACCCCAUUCGUCUCCAGGGAGAGGCCCCAAGUUGCAUAUUUCAACAGCAAGAAGGUCACCUGGUUCAGCAGGAUUUCCAUCCAAGUCUACAACUCUUACUGGCCCACUGAGAUAAUGGACCUGCAUAAGAGAGUUUAAUGAUUCAGUCUAAAGUGAUUUCAAACAUCUUAUGACUUGUGAGCUAGGACUCUUUGUUGGUUGAUUCACUGGAUAUGUUACUUUAUGCAUACUUACAGUGGAUAGAUCAACCGUUUUUACAUCAAUUGCAGAGUUAUUAUCUUGGAUAGCGCCUGCUGUCCAAUCAACCAUCUCAAUUCGGAACGUCUCCCCUGUUUUAAUCUCUGUUACAGGAGGUAUCUCUGGGUGCCAACGGUUGUGGAGUGGCAACUUUUGCUCCCAUGGUUUUUUCUUUAAGUCUAUGGGAAUUACAAGUCUUGGAGUUGGAGGAGCCAUGGUGACUUAGUGUUGUAUGAAUCACUGAGCAUGUUUACUUCCAUUACUUGGCAUUCUAAGGAAAGGAGGUGACUGAUUGGGACAAGGUCGCUAGCUGACAAAUGGGGAGUCACAUCUCUGUAAUGGUCACGGCUUACCUUCUUGAAAAUGACAAAGAUAUUGGACACAGUUGAUAAUAGUAUACAUCCUAAGUGUGAAACAAGCUAGCUCAAUCCAGCCCAAUAAAAUUAGAGCAAGAAAUAACUCUUUCUAGCUUCAAUGGUGGAUCUUCAGCCUCAAAAGAAAAUGUAUAAUAUUUAUGAAUAAGGUCUCUCAAAAGGAAAUAUUCAGUUGAUAUGGACCGAUACAAUUGAAAAAUAUAGUGAAGCUCACGCCAUGGACAUUCUAGUUUAACUUAUUACUUAUGUCUUUUGGCUAUUGUUGGAAUAUAUGGGUUCAGGGUUGAACUUUCACUGUUAACUUCGUGUUAAACCUUUUUCUUUCAGGAAACUACUACUAGUUCGGAAGAGGGGUUCAGUUGAAUAGAAGUAAUAAAGGUUGAAAACAAUGACACGAGAGUGCAAUGAAGAACUCACAACAGACUGAUCAGCAUGCUUGAUGUCCUCAGCAGUGUAGUCUUUUGUUAUACCACCUCCACUAAAAUCAACCAUCUCAACCCUGAACACCUCCCUAACUCGCACGUCUGCUACCGGAGGUAUCUCCGGGUGCCACCGGUUGUGAAGAGGUGGAUUUUGUUCCCAUGGCUUCUUCUUUAAAUCUACCUGCAGUACCAACUUUGGACCUAUUGAAUUCAUCAUGCCUUUUUUUCUAUGCCAGUAGCUAGGUUCUCAAGCUCGAAUUCACAUGAAAAGGUAGAAACGCCCUUCGUUAAGCUUUCUUAAUCAAAAAGCAGCGAGAGCUUUAUAGUACAUAACUUAUUCUUUCACUCAUGUUCAAGCUACAUGACAUUUGUUCAAAGUCAAUAAUAGGUUAGCAUAUGGUUUGGAGUUCC